rnacentral:lncRNA from 1 species
GUUUGGGUUUUUCAAUAAUUUUGAUUUUGAUUUGUUGGAGUGAGACGAUACCAAAUCCAAGGCCAUAAAUCUGUUUUUCCAUUUAAAUAAAUUAAGAUUCUGAGGCCCCCUUUAAUUUUUGGGCCUGAGGCAUGAGCCUCAUACGCCUCUAUGCAGGACCGGCUAUGUCUUUGUGAAUAAUGAAAAUCAUACAUUUUAGAUAAACUAGUCAUUCUGGAACAACACACAAAAUUUCAACUUCUUUUUCGUACUGAUUCCUGUCGAUUCCAACCUGCCAAACAUGUCUUUAAUAUAGUAAUUCAGACUUUGUUUUGAUGCACUUUUGACAAUAAUAGUAUUUCAACAACUAGUCAAUACCAUUACCAGCAAAUGAUUUUGACAAAAUUAAUUUAGCUUGCAUUUAGUUCACGUUUUCUUAGUGUCAAAGUUUGAUCAAAUUGGUGGAUUGACCUCUAGGGCAACAACCUAACGGAAAAGCUCUACUGUUAUGGUUUUAGAUGAUUAUAAAGCAUAAAAUCUUCACAACUAGCAAUUUAAACAUUUAAAAUUUCAUUUGCCCAUUGCAAUGAGGGAAUUUUGGACUUGGUUUACAUUGCUCCCCUUCCACAUGAUGAUGCGGGCAAGUGUUUGAAGCUCCACCACUAGCAACAUCAUAAGUUGUUAUCUAAGAUUAGUAAUAGUAUUUCUGUCGCUCGCUUGAGUUGUUUUGUCAUACUAAGUUAUGCAAAUGCUGUUUUAUAGGGUAUGAUAGGUUGAUCACAGUGACUGGUACAUUUGAUGGACAAAUUAAAAUGAUUGAACUGGUAAUUAAGCUUAUUUGAUAGAAUAUUAAGCACUAUUGAAGUACACAUAAUUGAGUUUUUCAUCUUUAAGGAUAUUCAAGAGCUUUUACUUCUUGUCAGCAUAGUUUCCAAUGACAAGUAUGGUUUGGUUUCUUCCAUCACUCUUCCCAGGUUGCAACUAGAUAAUCGUAAUAUGUUGGUUUCAUGCUCCUUAUGUUGUCAAUUUGGUUCUGGUCCCGUCUUGUUUCAAGGUAUGUCGAUUUCCCAUUUGGCUUUUGUGAUUUGGUACGAUAACUUUGGUGUUUAUUGGUCUUGGGAGUGGCACUGGCACUUGUAUUCUAAUCCAACAUUAUGGUAGCAUUGAUUUUUGCCCAUAUCAAUUUCCGUCACUAAUUAGAGUUUUGACUUUUUUUGAGUUUACAUUAUUUUUACAAUUUAACAAGUGUUUCACUUUGUUAAUUUCCAGAUUUAAAUACAUCGUUGGUUUGAUGGAAGUCUACUCCGGACAAGUUGCAAGAAUUUAAGAAACUUUCUUUUGAAGAUCUAGAAUGAGAUAAUUCUAAUUUAAUUUUGUAUUUCCUUUUCAAGUAUGUAUUGCUAUUAGUAUAUAACAUAAUUAUAUUUUUCUACUAAACAACUACACUUGUCUAUUUCUACAAGACAUUAUUGAUGUAUGUUUUGGAAUUUACUAUUGCCUUGAUUAUUG